GUGAGGAAUCUUGCGCAAUGGGGGCAACCCUGACGCAGCAACGCCGCGUGAGUGAAGAAGGCCUUCGGGUCGUAAAGCUCUGUCAAGUGGGAAGAAUAGCCUUAAGACGAAUAAUCUUGAGGUAUGACGGUACCACUGGAGGAAGCACCGGCUAACUCCGUGCCAGCAGCCGCGGUAAUACGGAGGGUGCAAGCGUUAUUCGGAAUUAUUGGGCGUAAAGGGCGUGUAGGCGGCCAGAUAAGUCAGAGGUGAAAGCCCGGGGCUCAACCCCGGAAGUGCCUUUGAAACUGCUUGGCUUGAGUGCGGGAGAGGAAAGCGGAAUUCCCAGUGUAGAGGUGAAAUUCGUAGAUAUUGGGAGGAACACCGGUGGCGAAGGCGGCUUUCUGGACCGACACUGACGCUGAGGCGCGAAAGCGUGGGGAGCAAACAGGAUUAGAAACCCGGGUAGUCC
rnacentral:rRNA from 1 species